AGAGACUUAGGAUAAUUUAAACCAAAAGCCUUCAAAGCUCUAAAUAGGAGUUAAAAUCUCCUAGUCUCUG
rnacentral:tRNA from 1 species